rnacentral:lncRNA from 1 species
AGAAACGUAUAUAAACAUGCAAAAGAACAGAUUUUAAAAAAGAAAAAGAAAAACACAUGUCUAACCUUCAUAGAAGAACUCGAACGUUAAAACCCACGUGCCAAAACCAACCUGGAAAAAUGGAUUUUCAUUGUUAUAAAUCUUUGAACUUUGAUUGUCAACUUUUUUUUCCAAUAUUUCUUUUUUCCUUUUCGCUCUUUUCUUGUUGCAAAUAAAUACAGGCAGAGCAAGAAAAAAAAUUGUGAAAAAAAUAAAAUUAAAAAAGAAAAUAUAAGACAAAGCAAAGAAAACUUUAGUUACCUUGAAAGAGAGAACUUAGCUUUCAUGGAUACGAAAAAGUGGCCUAAUAAGGGAUCAAAUAAUAAAAAGGCCGAACAAAGCAAAGCGAAGAGCAUGUGGAAUUUGGAUUAUUAUGAGCUCACUCAAUCAUCUCUACUUCACAAUCCAAACUCAAACAAAAUGCAAAUCUCUACUGUUCUGAAAUGCCAUAUAUGUCUACAAUUUUCUUAUAUAUAUAUAUCAGUCAACGUGUACUGACCAUGUACUGCCACCCUAAAUUACCUGCAAAAUAAAUCACUACCA